rnacentral:tRNA from 1 species
AAAAUUUAGUUUAAAAAAAACAUUAGUUUGUCAAACUAAAAUUAUUAAUAUAAUAAUUUUUUA